GUGGAGCAUGUGGCUUAAUUUGACUCAACGCGGGAAAUCUUACCGGGUCCGGACAUACUGAGGAUUGACAGGCAAUUGAUGAUUGUUUUGGCGUCAAAACCAAGCUUUCAUCGCUAAAUAUGCUAGUCCUUUCAUGAUUGUGUGAUAGGUGGUGCAUGGCCGUUCUUAGUUCGUGGAGUGAUCUGUCUGCUUAAUUGCGUUUCACUUACAAGGUCAUUAAAAAUUGCUAUGUCUUUGAUGUGUCAUUUUGAUCUUAACGGGUCAUUAUGAUACUCGGACUGCUGCAGUAUGUUUGACCUGAAGGCAACGAACGUGACCGCAGCCUCUUGUUGCCUCUUUCAAAGCACUUUUACACUUGUGUUUAACUACGCAUAGCGUAAUCUGUGUCAAUAGAGGAUAACUAGAGGGACCGCUAGGCUUUUUUAACCAGAGGAAGGUUGCGGCAAUAACAGGUCUGUGAUGCCCUUAGAUGUUCCGGGCUGCACACGUGCUACAAUGAUUGUUGCAGUGAGCAUCUCGAAUUGUAAAAAAUAGUCUGUUUGAUUUAUUUCGAACGGCUAUAAGCCUACUUCGAAAGUCAGUAGGUAAUCAAUUCGAAGUAACGAUUUCCACCCACAUAUAUUUAUGUCUCAUUGUGUCGCAUUUCUUUUUUCUCUUCUCUUUUGAGUCGAGUCAAUGGAUCUGCACUUUUGAUGACAUGUGCUCCAUUAAUUCUUGGUGGGGACAGNCCAUUGUUAAUUGUUGGUCUCGGUCUCAACUAGGAAUGCCUUGUACGGGUCUUUGGUUCAACAAACCACCCGGAAUAUGUCCCUGCCCUUUGUACACACCGCCCGUCGCUCUUACCGAUGGACUUCUCUGUGAGUUUGAGGGACUGGCUCUUUUAUUUUUAUUAAUAUCAGAGCUACGGAAACUUAAACGAACAGUGUGGUCUAAAG
rnacentral:rRNA from 1 species